rnacentral:rRNA from 1 species
CACGUAGGGGGCGAGCGUUGUCCGGAAUCAUUGGGCGUAAAGAGCUCGUAGGCGGCUCAGUAAGUCGGGUGUGAAACCCCCAGGCUCAACCUGGGGACGCCACCCGAUACUGCUGUGGCUAGAGUCCAGUAGGGGAGUGUGGAAUUCCCGGUGUAGCAGUGAAAUGCGUAGAGAUCGGGAGGAACAUCAGUUGCGAAGGCGGCUCUCUGGACCAGUACUGACGCUGAGGCGCGACAGCGUGGGGAGCAAACAGG